UGCCAGCCGCCGCGGUAAUACGGAAGGUGCAAGCGUUGUUCGGAAUUACUGGGCGUAAAGCGCACGUAGGCGGAUUAGAAAGUUAGAGGUGAAAUCCCGGGGCUCAACCCCGGAACUGCCUUUAAAACUACUAGUCUAGAGUUCGAGAGAGGUGAGUGGAAUUCCGAGUGUAGAGGUGAAAUUCGUAGAUAUUCGGAGGAACACCAGUGGCGAAGGCGGCUCACUGGCUCGAUACUGACGCUGAGGUGCGGAAGUGUGGGGAGCAAACAGGAUUAUCUG
rnacentral:rRNA from 1 species